rnacentral:rRNA from 1 species
CUCAGGAUGAACGCUGGCGGCGUGCUUAACACAUGCAAGUCGAACGGGAUCCAGGCAGCUUGCUGCCUGGUGAGAGUGGCGAACGGGUGAGUAAUGCGUGACCGACCUGCCCCAUACACCGGAAUAGCUCCUGGAAACGGGUGGUAAUGCCGGAUGCUCCGACUCCUCGCAUGGGGUGUCGGGAAAGAUUUCAUCGGUAUGGGAUGGGGUCGCGUCCUAUCAGGUAGUCGGCGGGGUAACGGCCCACCGAGCCUACGACGGGUAGCCGGCCUGAGAGGGCGACCGGCCACAUUGGGACUGAGAUACGGCCCAGACUCCUACGGGAGGCAGCAGUGGGGAAUAUUGCACAAUGGGCGCAAGCCUGAUGCAGCGACGCCGCGUGAGGGAUGGAGGCCUUCGGGUUGUAAACCUCUUUUAUCGGGGAGCAAGCGUGAGUGAGUUUACCCGUUGAAUAAGCACCGGCUAACUACGUGCCAGCAGCCGCGGUAAUACGUAGGGUGCAAGCGUUAUCCGGAAUUAUUGGGCGUAAAGGGCUCGUAGGCGGUUCGUCGCGUCCGGUGUGAAAGUCCAUCGCUUAACGGUGGAUCUGCGCCGGGUACGGGCGGGCUGGAGUGCGGUAGGGGAGACUGGAAUUCCCGGUGUAACGGUGGAAUGUGUAGAUAUCGGGAAGAACACCAAUGGCGAAGGCAGGUCUCUGGGCCGUUACUGACGCUGAGGAGCGAAAGCGUGGGGAGCGAACAGGAUUAGAUACCCUGGUAGUCCACGCCGUAAACGGUGGAUGCUGGAUGUGGGGCCCGUUCCACGGGUUCCGUGUCGGAGCUAACGCGUUAAGCAUCCCGCCUGGGGAGUACGGCCGCAAGGCUAAAACUCAAAGAAAUUGACGGGGGCCCGCACAAGCGGCGGAGCAUGCGGAUUAAUUCGAUGCAACGCGAAGAACCUUACCUGGGCUUGACAUGUUCCCGACAGCCGUAGAGAUACGGUCUCCCUUCGGGGCGGGUUCACAGGUGGUGCAUGGUCGUCGUCAGCUCGUGUCGUGAGAUGUUGGGUUAAGUCCCGCAACGAGCGCAACCCUCGCCCUGUGUUGCCAGCACGUCAUGGUGGGAACUCACGGGGGACCGCCGGGGUCAACUCGGAGGAAGGUGGGGAUGACGUCAGAUCAUCAUGCCCCUUACGUCCAGGGCUUCACGCAUGCUACAAUGGCCGGUACAACGGGAUGCGACAUGGCGACAUGGAGCGGAUCCCUGAAAACCGGUCUCAGUUCGGAUUGGAGUCUGCAACCCGACUCCAUGAAGGCGGAGUCGCUAGUAAUCGCGGAUCAGCAACGCCGCGGUGAAUGCGUUCCCGGGCCUUGUACACACCGCCCGUCAAGUCAUGAAAGUGGGUAGCACCCGAAGCCGGUGGCCUAACCCCUUGUGGGAUGGAGCCGUCUAAGGUGAGACUCGUGAUUGGGACUAAGUCGUAACAAGGUAGCCGUACCGGAAGGUGCGGCUG